UACGGAAGGCAGCAGGGGGAAUAUUGCACAAUGGGCGAAAGCCUGAUGCAGCUAUGCCGCGUGUAUGAAGAAGGCCUUAGGGUUGUAAAGUACUUUCAUCGGGGAGGAAAAAACAAAACUAAUAAUUUUAUUUCUUGACGUUACCCGAAAAAGAAGCACCGGCUAACUCCGUGCCAGCAGCCGCGGUAAUACGGAGGGUGCUAGCGUUAAUCAGAAUUACUGGGCGUAAAGAGCACGUAGGUGGUUUUUUUAAAGUCAGAUGUGAAAUCCCUGGGCUUUAACCUAGGAACUGCAUUUUGAAACUGAAAUACUAGAGUAUCGUAGAGGGAGGUAGAAUUCUAGGUGUAGCGGUGAAAUGCGUAGAUAUCUGGAGGAAUACCUGUGGCGAAAGCGGCCUCCUAAACGAAUACUGACACUGAGGUGCGAAAGCGUGGGGA
rnacentral:rRNA from 1 species